rnacentral:rRNA from 1 species
AACGUAGGGGGCGAGCGUUGUCCGGAAUUACUGGGCGUAAAGGGCGUGUAGGCGGCUCGUGAAGUCAGGAGUGAAAACCCGGGGCUCAACCCCGGGCGUGCUUUUGAGACCAGCGGGCUUGAGUGCAGGAGAGGGAAGUGGAAUUCCCAGUGUAGCGGUGAAAUGCGUAGAUAUUGGGAGGAACACCAGUGGCGAAAGCGGCUUCCUGGCCUGUAACUGACGCUGAGGCGCGAAAGCGUGGGGAGCAAACAGGAUUAGAUACC